rnacentral:rRNA from 1 species
GACGAACGCUGGCGGCGUACUUAACACAUGCAAGUCGAACGGAAAGGCCCUGCUUUUGUGGGGUGCUCGAGUGGCGAACGGGUGAGUAACACGUGAGUAACCUGCCCUUGACUUUGGGAUAACUUCAGGAAACUGGGGCUAAUACCGGAUAGGGGCUCCUGCUGCAUGGUGGGGGUUGGAAAGUUUCGGCGGUUGGGGAUGGACUCGCGGCUUAUCAGCUUGUUGGUGGGGUAGUGGCUUACCAAGGCUUUGACGGGUAGCCGGCCUGAGAGGGUGACCGGCCACAUUGGGACUGAGAUACGGCCCAGACUCCUACGGGAGGCAGCAGUGGGGAAUAUUGCACAAUGGGCGGAAGCCUGAUGCAGCAACGCCGCGUGCGGGAUGACGGCCUUCGGGUUGUAAACCGCUUUCGCCUGUGACGAAGCGUGAGUGACGGUAAUGGGUAAAGAAGCACCGGCUAACUACGUG